CGUCUGACUCAGGUGUGGAACAAGGCGCGGAAUAGCCUGCUAUCGCGGGUGCUUCGCCGGCGCUAGUGCCUGGCGCCUCGUUCCGCCCAUCGCCCGUGAGCCGGCGGCGUCACGUCAUCAUUCUGACUCCUAAGGGGCUAACAGCGAACGCCUAAUCGGCGUCCGGGCCCAGCACCUCACGGGCGCGGGAGAGGUCCUCUUCUCGGGUCUGGACGCGGCAGCUGACGGCGCUGAUGCCGAGGAAAGAGACCGCAUCGGAGGGGCGGAUCAUGGCGCUGA
rnacentral:misc_RNA from 1 species